rnacentral:pre_miRNA from 1 species
UUCUUAUUGAAUACGCGUCAUGUUCUGAUUGAAUAUUGAAUCCAUUGAAGAUGAAAUGGAUUGUUGUUGUCAUUCGUCAAUCAGAAUAUGACACGUGUCAAUUAUCAGAA